GACGAACGCUGGCGGCGUGCCUAAUACAUGCAAGUCGAGCGGACAGGUCAGGCUCUUGCGCCUCUCUCGUUUGCCGCGGACGGGUGUGUAACGCGUGUAUCCCCUCCCUAUCAUACUGAUAUCUCUUCGAGACACCGGCUAUAAUACCGUAUGAUAUACUGCAGCGUGUGGUUCAAUGGUAAGAUUCGGUUGUUCUGUCUCUUCUCGCUGGAUCUGGGCCGCAGUAGCUAGUUGGUAAGGUACCGGCUUACCAAGGGAAGGAUGCGUGUCCGACCUGAGAGGGGGAUCGCCCGCCUGGGAACUUAGACACGGUCCAGACUCCUACGGUAGGCAGCAGUAGGGAAUCUGCCGCAAUGGGCGAAAGCCUGACGGAGCAACGGCGCGUGAGUGAUGACGGUCUCCGGAUCGUAAAACUCGCCUAUUGGUGAAGAACAAAUGUGUAAGUAACUAUGCACGUCUUGACGGUACCGAAUCAGAAAGCCACGGCUAACUACGUG
rnacentral:rRNA from 1 species